AAAAAAAACAAACUCUGGUUCCCAUGUCUAACGUUUGACCGUCCGUCUUAUUUGAAAAAAUUAUGAAAAAAAUUAAAAAGACAAGUCACGCAUAAAAUAUUAAUCAUGUUUUAUUAUCUAACAAUAAUGAAAAUACGAAUUAUAAAAAAAUUUCAUAUAAGACGGACCGUUAAAGUUGGACACGAAAAUUCAGGGUUUGCCUUUUU
rnacentral:pre_miRNA from 1 species